UACAGAGGUCUCAAGCGUUGUUCGGAUUUAUUGGGCGUAAAGAGCUCGUAGGCGGCUUGUCGCGUCGGCUGUGAAAUCCCGUGGCUCAACUGCGGGUCUGCAGCCGAUACGGGCAGGCUAGAGUUCGGUAGGGGAGACUGGAAUUCCUGGUGUAGCGGUGAAAUGCGCAGAUAUCAGGAGGAACACCGAUGGCGAAGGCAGGUCUCUGGGCCGAUACUGACGCUGAGGAGCGAAAGCGUGGGGAGCGAACAGG
rnacentral:rRNA from 1 species